AUUGAACGCUGGCGGCAGGCCUAACACAUGCAAGUCGAGCGAGCGGCGGACGGGUGAGUAAUGUAUGGGGACUGCCCGAUAGAGGGGUAUAACUACUGGACACGGUGGCUAAUACCGCAUACUAUCGGAUAACCCAUAUGGGAUUAGCUAGUAGGUGGGGUAAAGGCUCACCUGGGCGACGAUCUCUAGCUGGUCUGAGAGGAUGAUCAGCCACACUGGGACGAAGACACGGCCCAGACUCCUACGGAGGCAGCAGUGGGGAAUAUUGCACAAUGGGGGAAAGCCUGAUGCAGCCAUGCCGCGUGUAUGAAGAAGGCCUUAGGGUUGUAAAGUACUUUCAGCGGGGAGGCGUUACCCGCAGAAGAAGCACCGGCUAACUCCGUGCCAGCAGCCGCGGUAAUUC
rnacentral:rRNA from 1 species